rnacentral:rRNA from 1 species
AAUUUUGGACAAUGGGGGAAACCCUGAUCCAGCCAUCCCGCGUGUAUGAUGAAGGCCUUCGGGUUGUAAAGUACUUUUGGCAGAGAAGAAAAGGUAUCUCCUAAUACGAGAUACUGCUGACGGUAUCUGCAGCAUAAGCAGCGUCUAACUACGUGCCAGCAGCCGCGGUAAUACGUAGGGCGCAAGCGUUAAUCGGAACUACUGGGCGUAAAGCGGGCGUAGGAGGUUCGGAAAGAAGGCUGUGAAAUCCCGGGGCUCACCCUUGGAACUGCAUUUUUAACUGCCGAGCUAGAUUAUGUCAGAGGGGGGUAGAAUUCCACGUGUAGCAGUGAAAUGCGUAGAUAUGUGGAGGAAUACAGAUGGCGAAGGCAGCCCCCUGGGAUAAUACUGACGCUCAGACACGAAAGCGUGGGGAGCAAACAG